rnacentral:rRNA from 1 species
UACGGAGGAUCCGAGCGUUAUCCGGAUUUAUUGGGUUUAAAGGGAGCGUAGGCGGGUUGUUAAGUCAGCUGUGAAAGUUUGCGGCUCAACCGUAAAAUUGCAGUUGAUACUGGCAUCCUUGAGUACAGUAGAGGUAGGCGGAAUUCGUGGUGUAGCGGUGAAAUGCUUAGAUAUCACGAAGAACUCCGAUUGCGAAGGCAGCCUGCUGGACUGUAACUGACGCUGAUGCUCGAAAGUGUGGGUAUCAAACAGG